UACGUAGGGGGCAAGCGUUGUCCGGAUUUAUUGGGCGUAAAGAGCGUGUAGGCGGCUUGACAGGUCUGCUGUGAAAACUCGAGGCUCAACCUCGAGAUGUCGGCGGAAACCGUCUGGCUAGAGUCCGGAAGAGGAGAGUGGAAUUCCUGGUGUAGCGGUGAAAUGCGCAGAUAUCAGGAGGAACACCUAUGGCGAAGGCAGCUCUCUGGGACGGUACUGACGCUGAGACGCGAAAGCGUGGGGAGCGAACAGG
rnacentral:rRNA from 1 species